AACUUGUUACAAUGGGUCACGUGGUUCUCGCAUCGAUGAAGAACGCAGCGAAAUGCGAUAAGUAGUGUGAAUUGCAGAAUUCAGUGAAUCAUCGAAUUUUUGAACGCACAUUGCGCCUUCCGGAAUUCCGGAAGGCAUGCCUGUUCGAGCGUCAUAUAAGCACCUCAAGCAUGAAUUUAUUCUUACUUGGUAUUGGUCAAGGAUUGAGCUUGCCUUCUUCCUGUCCGAAAUGCAAUGGCGAAGUCCUGUCUUCCAUUCAGUGUAGUAAUCAACGUUAUGUUUCACUUCUGGACAUGAGAGGCUUUUGCUACAAAUCAAAUUCCCCAAUUCUAAAGUUUGACCUCGGAUCAGGUAGGGAUACCCGCUGAACUUAAGCAUAUCAAUAAGCGGAGGCU
rnacentral:misc_RNA from 1 species